rnacentral:rRNA from 1 species
GAUGAACGCUGGCGGCGUUCCUAAUACAUGCAAGUCGAGCGAACAGACGAGGAGCUUGCUCCUCUGACGUUAGCGGCGGACGGGUGAGUAACACGUGGAUAACCUACCUAUAAGACUGUGAUAACUUCGGGAAACCGGUGCUAAUACCGGAUAAUAUAUUGAACCGCAUGGUUCAAUAGUGAAAGACGGUUUUGCUGUCACUUAUAGAUGGAUCCGCGCCGCAUUAGCUAGUUGGUAAGGUAACGGCUUACCAAGGCAACGAUGCGUAGCCGACCUGAGAGGGUGAUCGGCCACACUGGAACUGAGACAAGGUCCAGACUCCUAAGGGAGGCAGCAGUAGGGAAUCUUCCGCAAUGGGCGAAAGCAUGACGGAGAAACGCCGCGUGAGUGAUGAAGGUCUUCGGAUCGUAAAACUCUGUUAUUAGGGAAGAACAAAUGUGUAAGUAACUAUGCACGUCUUGACGGUACCUAAUCAGAAAGCCACGGCUAACUACGUG